CAAAGUAUAGCUUAAAUAAAGCAUCUCGCUUACACCGAAAAAACAUCUGUUAAAAUCAGAUUAUUUUGA
rnacentral:tRNA from 1 species